CCUGAUGGCUAAGAUGGUAAAGAAUCUGCCUACAAUGCAGGAGGUUCAGGUUUGACCCCUGGGUCAGGA
rnacentral:tRNA from 1 species